rnacentral:lncRNA from 1 species
UGUGUGGGAAUGAGUUUCAAAGAGAAAUAAGUGUUUCGGUGCAAAUUGGGCGCAAAACAAAAUGUAAAGAGGAUUUUCGGAUUUCCGACGCUAACUUUGAUUAAAAGAAUUAAAGUGAGGCGUGAGGAUACAUUGUGGUAUCUCCGAAUCAAUUGUGAAGUUUUGGAAAAGCCAAGGGGGUGUUUUCAAAGGGUUUGAAGUGUUCAGUGCGAAGUGGUAGUGCAAAAAAAGAAGAAAUUGCUUUGGAGCUAAUUUUAUUGCUAAUUCGGCUCAAAUAAUGUCAAAAAGAAAAGGAAUUACUUUCAAAUUAAAUUGGUAGCUUGUGAAGGUCCCUUGGUAUAUUUUGGAAGUGUUUGGGUGAAAUCGGAGUGAAAACAGAAAAUUUAAAAUUUUCUGUAAAGAACGGGACUGAGAAAAUUAGCAGAAAAUGCACAGUGUCAGAAAAUUAUGAAAAUUGGCAGAGAUGUCAGGAACANNNNNNNNNNNNNNNNNNNNNNNNNNNNNNNNNNNNNNNNNNNNNNNNNNNNNNNNNNNNNNNNNNNNNNNNNNNNNNNNNNNNNNNNNNNNNNNNNNNNGAUCCAUCCUUCUUCUUCACAAAUAGGACCGGUGCUCCCCAAGGUGACACACUCGGUCUCACGAAACCCUUGUCCAGAAGAUCUUGCAACUGUGCCUUCAGCUCCUUCAAUUCCGCUGGUGCCAUCCUAUAGGGUGCCUUUGAGAUUGGAGUGGUCCCGGGAACGAGAUCCACUACAAACUUAAUCUCCCUAUCAGGUGGCAUGCCUGGAAGCUCCGCUGGGAACACGUCUCCAAACUCCCGUACUACGGGGAUAUCCUCAAUCCUAGGGGCGUCAUCCUCACCCCGCAACACAAUAGUAGCCAAGUAGGCUACGCAGCCUCUACUAAUCAACUGUCGAGCUCGAGAAGAGCUAAUCGUCAUCGCAAACAGCGAACUCUGGCAUCCUCGGUACACAACCUCCGCCUGCCCUAGCUCUCUAAACGUCACUGUUCGAUUCUUGCAAUCGAUGGUGGCAAAGUACUUGGUCAACCAAUCCAUGCCCAACACAACAUCAAACUCCCCGAGUUUAUGCAAAGCUAGCAAGUCCACGGGCAUGAUCCAAUCUCCAACCGGAACAUAGCAACUGGGGUAAAACUCCCGAAUGUCCAAAGAAUGGUCGGGUACAACAACUCGUCCCGGAUGCAACAAGAAUACAAGUGGGAUGCCAUGCAACUCGGCAAACAGCCGGUCUAUAAAUGAAUGCGAUGCACUGGUAUCAAACAAUGCUCUAACUCGAAUACCAUAAAGUAAAAUGAUACCUGCGACCACAUUCUCUGCUGCCGCCGCCUCCUCAGUCUAGGCCUCGUACAUGUGGCCGCUCGGGGCCUGUCGUGACCCCUCCGCCUGCCGCUGAACUAGCGGCCGUCCUGACUGAUGAUGCGCAGAAGAUGUCCCCUGACUGGGACCUGGCGAUGCUGGUGCAGAUGCCGAAGAUGGCGCUAGCGCUGAACCUCUCGGGCAAUCCGACUAGAAGUGGCCCUCCUGGCCACACAAGAAACACCUGCCCCGGCUGCGUGAACACUGUCGCGGGUAGUAGGGACCACCACAGAUCACGCAGCGGGGAGCCUAGCAACGAUCGGGUCCUCCUCGCUAAGUAGACUGGCCCCGUCCUCGUGACUGGCUCCGUCCUCGUGACUGGCUCCUGCUCCUAGGAUGCCUCGGCGGCCUCCGUGGGUGCGUCUGACUUGCACCCUCAGCCGCUGGCCUCUUGCCCUUACCCUUGUUUAGGGCCUCGCGUCGCUCCUGAAGGUCUGCCGCUCCAGCCUCCACAAUGAGUGCACGGUCCACAACCUCCCGGUAGGUUUGGAGGUUGGAGGACUGCACCAACCGGAAGAUAGAAGGCCGCAAUCCGUGCUAAAAAGUGCGGGCCUUAUCCUCGUCAUCCCUCACAACAAAUGGUACACAGUGAAGUAGCCGGGAGAACUCACUCUCGUACUCGGCCACUAACCACUCGUCCUGGCGGAAGCUGCGCAAAUCCUGCUCCAUCUUCCUCUUCACGCUAGUCGGAAAGUAGUGCGCCAGAAGAAGCUCCUUGAAUUGCGUCUAUGUGAUCGCUGUCAAGUCGGUGCUGGGGUUGUCCUGGAUAUCCAACCACCAACGAUAGGCCUCGCCAUCCAGGAAGUGAGUGGCAAGCCAAACUCUAUCCCGCUCCUCCACAAAGGUAUCUCGAAAAAUCUUCUCCAUGUGCAUCAACCACUUCUCAAUAAUCCAGUGGUCGACGUUCUCGCCGUCAAACGUCCUCGGGCUGCACCUCCUGAACUCACUGAGGUGCUCCAUGAGCCGAUCCCGCUUGGCUCCCUCGGCCCUCACGGGGAAGGCUGCCCCCGUGGCUGGUCUCUGAACUGGGGGUACCGCAGCCACCUCCUCCCGAGGUAAUGUAACAUAUGGAAACUUGGAGUUGCGAUGUCAACUUUGAUCUAGGGGAUCAAAGUGAGGAUUGAGCUAGUUGGACAUCAUCCUUGAGUGAUUUGUGAUGCGUGUGCAUGAAUUCUGGAAAUAAAUAAGUGUUUCGGCGCAAAUUGGACGCGAAACGAAAUAUAAAGAGACUUUUCGGAUUUUCGACGCUAACUUUGAUUAAAAGAAUUAAAGUGAGGCGUGAUGAUAAAUUGUGGUAUCUCCAAAUCAAUUGUGAAGUUUUGGAAAAGCCAAGAGUAUGUUUUCAAAGGGUUUGAAGUGUUCAGUGCGAAGUGGUAGUGCAAAAAGGAGAAAUUGCUGCCUUGUAAUGGAAUUGGAGCUGAUUCUAUUUCUAAUUCGGCUCAAAUAAUGUCAAAAUGAAAAGGAAUUGCUUCCAAAUUAAAUUGGUAGCUUGUGAAGGUCCCUUGGUAUAUUUUGGAAGUGUUUGGAUGAAAUCGGAGUGAAGACAGAAAAUUUAGAAUUUUCUGUAAAGAACGGGACUGAGAAAAUUAGCAGAAAAUGCACAGUGUCAGAAAAUUAUAAAAAUUGGCAGAGAUGUCAGGAACAUUUUUAUGAGGCUAGAUUUGAAGUUUCAUAUUUUUCUGACACCUGUAGAAAGAGAAAUAGCAUUCGGAAGUUAUCUGAUAAAGAUUACAGUUCGGGACAGUUCGCAGUGACCAAACGGGGUCGAAACUGAAAUGUUAAAAUUUCAAUGGACUUGUUAAGUAAAAACGAA